GCUGGCUGGAAGGACACACGAGGGAGGCAGAUGACACCCGCUUGGUCCUGUCUUCCCGGCUAUAAGGGUGUUACCCUGGAGAUCUCGGGGAUGGACCCAGCAAAGCAGACCUCAGAGAAGUGGACACAGUGAGAGCCGAGCAAGCCCUGAGCCCCUGGAGAGCCAAGGCCGAGAAUAAACCACCAGCUCCCUGGGAGCUCCUGAUUGUGCAUGAUGUUCAUGAGUCUCUGGCUCCCCUGAGUGGCAAAGAAAAUAAAUUCACGUCUCCAGGAUUCCAGCUCUCUGCACAAGGAUGAUCAUUUCCACUAUUUAUUUACUCCCCUGCUCUCCAGUCUCCGGAGGAACCAAGUCUAUCCUCAGCCCGGGAUCAAGCCUACAGCCUCCUGACGUGCCGCUAAGUCCUCUACCACCAUGUCACCCCCCAGCUCUACACUGCAUCUCUCUAUCUCUUACUCCAGCAGGCAGCCUACUUUAAGUGUUGACAAUGAUGACCUUUGGAUGGCUGCUAACACUUUUUCAGAGUGCCUGUUCGUGGGAGGAAUUCCACAGGCAUUAGCUCUGUGAAUGCAUGAAUGCAUCAACUCAGGAAACUUCCAGGGCUGGCUGAUCAGAGAGGGUGGCUGGCUCAUUCAUGCAUGAUACUACAACAUUCUUUUGGAAAAUUUAUGAUGUCAGUGUAGCUGUUCAUCCACAGGGCACAUGCAUAAUGAAUGUGUUUUAUUUUGUUUUGUUUUUAUUCCCAGAGACAAGGUUUGUCUGUGUAGCUCUGACUGUCCUGGAAAUCACUCUAUAGACCAGG